rnacentral:tRNA from 1 species
CGCCAGUGACCUGGAGGUGCUUACCUCCCGUGAAGGCAUCAUCGCCUACAGCGUGGGGCUUCGGCAGUUCUACUCCACCGCUGGGGU